UACGGUGGGUGCGAGCGUUGUCCGGAUUUAUUGGGCGUAAAGAGCGUGUAGGCGGCCCGGUAAGUCCGCUGUAAAAGUCAAAGGCUCAACCUUUGAAUGUCAGUGGAUACUGCCGGGCUAGAGUCCGGAAGAGGCGAGUGGAACUCCUGGUGUAGCGGUGGAAUGCGCAGAUAUCAGGAAGAACACCAACGGCGAAGGCAGCUCGCUAGGACGGUACUGACGCUGAGACGCGAAAGCGUGGGGAGCAAACAGG
rnacentral:rRNA from 1 species